rnacentral:tRNA from 1 species
GGCCUCGUAGCUCAGUUGGAUAGAGCGUUGGCUGUACUAAAGCCUUCCCCUUGAUGGCGUGGGUUUGAAUCCCACUGAGGCCG